AGAGUUUGAUCCUGGCUCAGGACGAACGCUGGCGGCGUGCCUAACACAUGCAAGUCGAGCGAGGAACUUCGGUUCCUAGCGGCGGACGGGUGAGUAACACGUGGGUAACCUGCCUCAAAGAGGGGGAUAGCCUCCCGAAAGGGAGAUUAAUACCGCAUAACAUUGAAUUCUCGCAUGAGAGUUUAAUUAAAGGAGUAAUCCGCUUUGAGAUGGACCCGCGGCGCAUUAGCUAGUUGGUGAGGUAACGGCUCACCAAGGCCACGAUGCGUAGCCGACCUGAGAGGGUGAUCGGCCACAUUGGAACUGAGACACGGUCCAGACUCCUACGGGAGGCAGCAGUGGGGAAUAUUGCGCAAUGGGGGAAACCCUGACGCAGCAACGCCGCGUGAGUGAUGAAGGCCUUCGGGUUGUAGAGCUCUGUCUUCUGGGACGAUCAUGACGGUACCAGAGGAGGAAGCCACGGCUAACUACGUGCCAGCAGCCGCGGUAAU
rnacentral:rRNA from 1 species